CCUAGCACUAAGCACACAGAGCACCGGGGUACGUGAGGAAUGUAUAUCUUCACGACGAUUUGGAAUUAGAACCGUUAACGGUUUACCACCUAGGACCCUGAGGUCUACCUGCAUUCCUUUACUGCUUCGGUACAGCACCAGUGCGACACACCCGGCGAGAAUUUGUCAAAAUGUACUCCCAAAUAAAUCCCGAAAGAAACCGUUAUCGAAAUCGUAACCAAAAAACCAGCAGCAUUCUAAUAUCAUUAAUGACACAUUAUAUCAUACUGUAUUUGAUUACCCAUAAUAAAUGGUCUCACACUC